CCAGCCAGCCUUAUGUUCUUGCUUGAGAUUAUGCAGACAACCUCGAUCAGCCAGAGCGGAGGAGCAAUAUCAGAGAGCAACACUCUAAAAAUGCAGAACACAUCGAAGGUGGGAAGAAAGAGAACUCCUGGGAGGUGUAAAGAUACCAAAUUUGGAGAAUUUAGCGUUGGGACGGCAAGAACAGAAGCAUCAGCAGUAGGAAACAAGCUGGAUACGGAAAUGCUGGCACAGAACAGAGGCAAUGCGAUGCAGCGGUACAUGGAGAAGAAGAAGACUCGGAGGUAAGCGACAAUUUUGCCAUAUUACAACCAUUACUCAAGACCCAAAGGCACCUACGAAGUAAACCCAAAGCAAAAUAUGUAUGUGUUUUGAGGUGAUGGCGUUGUUUAUAGUGGCGUUUGCCUGUGUGCACAGGUAUGAUAAGCACAUACGAUACGAGUCAAGGAAGGCAAGAGCUGAAACAAGGACGCGGGUGAAGGGUCGAUUCGUGAAAGCCACUGAGGCCCCUGAGAGCUGAUGUUUCUCCAAAAUUCCAUCUUUGAUUGAAUAUGUACAUAAAUUUCUCCAUUAUCCCUACAGCAAAAUAUGCUGUAACCUUGAGUUAUUCUUUCUUCCAUCCAUUUUGUUUCUUGUAGCUUUGAAGCUUUUUACUACAGCCCACUACUUCAAUGGGAAUUUAUUAUGAAACAGAGAUGAUUUGCGUUCCCCUGCUCAUCUAAAUCUUAGUCAGAGAGCGAUUAUUUAGCAGAGAUUCAAAUUUAGCAGAGAUUCAAAUUGCUUGAGAUGAUGAAGAUUAAACGAGUGGCCCAAAGCGGUGGAGGAAGGAAAGGACGGUGCUGUAAGAUGACGGAGGUUAGGCGUACUUACAAUUCAGAUUAGUGGUGUUUAAAGGAUUCACCGACUGCGGCAGGCUCCGACGAGGCAGAGAUAACCUUCUGAGCCAAAUCCAAGUCCGGUUGGCCGGAUUUUUGGGUUUAAGAGCAGAUGAAGAAAG
rnacentral:lncRNA from 1 species